GUCCUAGUCAAAUUUGACUGUAAGUUCCAAAUUGGGGGGGCGUGAGUUAUCGAGUAAAAGGGGGGCUUAGAGGCAAUGACGUAAUAGCAUCUUUAGUGAUAGUAAAUAACUAUUUUGACACAUACACAUAGAAAAAUAAACAUUAACUUCAGGGGACCGUGAAAAAAAUAAUGUGUCCUAGUCAAAUUUGACUGUAAGUUCCAAAUUGGGGGGGCGUGAGUUAUCGAGUAAAAGGGGGGCUUAGAGGCAAUGACGUAAUAGCAUCUUUAGUGAUAGUAAAUAACUAUUUUGACACAUACACAUAGAAAAAUAAACAUUAACUUCAGGGGACCGUGAAAAAAAUAAUGUGUCCUAGUCAAAUUUGACUGUAAGUUCCAAAUUGGGGGGGCGUGAGUUAUCGAGUAAAAGGGGGGCUUAGAGGCAAUGACGUAAUAGCAUCUUUAGUGAUAGUAAAUAACUAUUUUGACACAUACACAUAGAAAAAUAAACAUUAACUUCAGGGGACCGUGAAAAAAAUAAUGUGUCCUAGUCAAAUUUGACUGUAAGUUCCAAAUUGGGGGGGGCGUGAGUUAUCGAGUAAAAGGGGGGCUUAGAGGCAAUGACGUAAUAGCAUCUUUAGUGAUAGUAAAUAACUAUUUUGACACAUA